AACUUUCAGCAUCGGAUGUNUUGGGUCAGGCAUUGAUGAAAAACGCANCGAAAUGCGAUAAGUAAUGUGAAUUGCNNAUACAGUGAAUCAUCGAAUCUUUGAACGCCAAUGGCGCUGUAUGGUAUUCCGUAGAGCACGUUUGGUUGAGCGUCGCG
rnacentral:rRNA from 1 species